rnacentral:rRNA from 1 species
ACAGCAGUCGCCGCGGGAAUACGAGGGGGGCAAGCGUUGUUCGGAAUUAUUGGGCGUAAAGGGCGCGUAGGCGGUUUGGCAAGUCUAAUGUGAAAUCCCCGGGCUCAACCUGGGAACUGCAUUUGUGACUGGCAAGCUAGAGUGUGGCAGAGGGGGGUGGAAUUCCGCGUGUAGCAGUGAAAUGCGUAGAUAUGCGGAGGAACACCGAUGGCGAAGGCAGCCCCCUGGGCCAACACUGACGCUCAUGCACGAAAGCGUGGGGAGCAAACAGGAUUAGAUACCCGGGUAGUCCCUGUCUCUUAUAC